rnacentral:rRNA from 1 species
GAUGAACGCUGGCGGCGUGCCUAAUACAUGCAAGUCGAGCGAACGGACGAGAAGCUUGCUUCUCUGAUGUUAGCGGCGGACGGGUGAGUAACACGUGGAUAACCUACCUAUAAGACUGGGAUAACUUCGGGAAACCGGAGCUAAUACCGGAUAAUAUUGUGAACCGCAUGGUUCAAAAGUGAAAGACGGUCUUGCUGUCACUUAUAGAUGGAUCCGCGCUGCAUUAGCUAGUUGGUAAGGUAACGGCUUACCAAGGCAACGAUGCAUAGCCGACCUGAGAGGGUGAUCAGCCACACUGGAACUGAGACACGGUCCAGACUCCUACGGGAGGCAGCAGCAGGGAAUCUUCCACAAUGGGCGCAAGCCUGACGGAGCAACGCCGCGUGAGUGAUGAAGGUCUUCGGAUCGUAAACCUCUGUUAUUAGGGAAGAACAUAUGUGUAAGUAACUGUGCACAUCUUGACGGUACCUAAUCAGAAAGCCCCGGCUAACUACGUG